rnacentral:piRNA from 1 species
UUUUGUAUUUAAUCAAUUUGG